CCUACGGGUGGCAGCAGUGGGGAAUAUUGGACAAUGGGCGAAAGCCUGAUCCAGCCAUGCCGCGUGUGUGAAGAAGGCCUUCGGGUUGUAAAGCACUUUCAGUGGGGAAGAAAGCCUUGGGGCUAAUACCCUCGAGGAAGGACAUCACCCACAGAAGAAGCACCGGCUAACUCCGGGCCAGCAGCCGCGGUAAUACGGAGGGUGCGAGCGUUAAUCGGAAUUACUGGGCGUAAAGCGCGCGUAGGCGGUCUGAUAAGCCGGUUGUGAAAGCCCCGGGCUCAACCUGGGAACGGCAUCGGAAACGGUCAGGCUAGAGUGCAGGAGAGGAAGGUAGAAUUCCCGGUGGAGCGGUGAAAUGCGGAGAGAUCGGGAGGAAUACCAGUGGGGAAGGCGGCCUUCUGGACUGACACUGACGCUGAGGUGCGAAAGCGUGGGUAGCAAACAGGAUUAGAUACCCCUGUAGUC
rnacentral:rRNA from 1 species